rnacentral:rRNA from 1 species
UAUAUAGGUAAUGUGCCCCUUACAAAGAAUAACAGUUGGAAACGACUGCUAAUGCUUUAUAUGCCUCUAUCACAUAAGUGAGCGAGGGAAAGAGUUUUGGUAAGGGAUCGGCCUGUACGGUAUCAGUUAGUUGGUGAGGUAAUGGCUUACCAAGACAAUGACGCCUAACUGGUUUGAGAGGAUGAUCAGUCACACUGGAACUGAGACACGGUCCAGACUCCUACGGGAGGCAGCAGUGGGGAAUAUUGCACAAUGGAGGAAACUCUGAUGCAGCAACGCCGCGUGGAGGAUGACACAUUUCGGUGCGUAAACUCCUUUUAUAUAAGAAGAUAAUGACGGUAUUAUAUGAAUAAGCACCGGCUAACUCCGUGCCAGCGGGCUGCGG